GCUUUCCUCUUUGACAUAACCCACCCGCUGGUACGAGCCCGUGCAGGAUGGGCGGUCAUUUGAAGCGAAGCGUGACAGCUAAACGAGGGCAGAACAAGGGCCGUGUGAGGCCCUAUGCCCGCAUCUGGUUCCGUAUCCAAGAUAACAUGCAUCGCUCAAUGGGCCACAACAUCAAUGCAAGCACUAACGAUGAGGAUCAAAGAGACAGCUUCAUGGUUCAUCUCAUGCCAACUGAAUGGCAAGAGACGAAGGCUACUUCAUUCGAUCGGGACAAUACCAUGACUUAGGUAGGCAACACAAAAAACCCACAAUGUACAUAGGUGACAUUAACACCUAGGCAAGCGACUGAAGAGGUAAGUCGGGUGGCAGUUGUUGCGCAAGCAAA
rnacentral:misc_RNA from 1 species